rnacentral:lncRNA from 1 species
CUUCGAGAUGCUCGGCUGCCCCAGCCCAUAAGUGGCUGCUCUCCCUCUCCCCGCCCGGGGCCCGCACCCCACAGCCGCUGGUCUUCAACAGACCACAAGGGCGUGCGGGCCGCUGCCGUCCUGCCCUACCCACUCGUGAGUAACGCCUCUCUCCGCCACGCCCCCCCCACCCCUCCCGCGGUUUCCCACGCCAGUGCCCACUCGGCGCCACUCACCGUACGUCGGGUCCGGGGGCCGUCUUGCUGCGAGGGCCGGGGCAGUUAAGGAGAAAGCACCCAGCGGGGGGCCGCGAGUACCCGCACGCAGGGCACGCUCUGGCGAGGGCGCGCGGCGAGGCGCGAGGCCGAGGCGGUGCUAGCGCCAGAGCUUCCAAGGGAGAGAAGCCUCGGAGCGUGCGCAGUCGGACUCAGGCCGUCACCCUGCGCUUGCCUUUGUUGGGUUACCCCCUUGGUUUUAGAGAUAUUGAGCAAAUUCUACCAACACCUAAUAUGAGCCUUCCUGGACAAUCUUCCUGGUAAAGGACCAUUAGUGUGUUAUUUCUUUUCUUUCAAAGUAUUUAGAGUUAAGAGAGAGUGAACAAAGAAAAGACAUUUUAUGGGGCACAAAACAAUGAUUAAGAAAGCUUCUACAGAAAUGACCCGGGGGGGGGGGUUGGGGGGGGCAGCUGGGUAGCUCAGUGGAUUGAGAACCAGUCCUAGAGACGGGAGGUCCUAGGUUCAAAUCUAGCUUCAGCCACUUCCCAGCUGUGUGACCCUGGGCAAGUCACUUGACCCCCAUUGCCUAGCCCUUACCACUCUUUUGCCUUGGAGCCCAUACACAGUAUUGACUCCAAGACAGAAGGUAAGGGUUUAAAAAAAAAAAAAGAAAUGACCCUGGAUUCUUGAAGACAUUGUCAAGGAAGUAGGAAACCUGGAAGAUCAUACUUACCCAGCUAGAAAUGAUUUGGGUACAAAGGAAACGACAGACUGGGUUGUCUCUCACCUGAAGAAGAAUCUAGCUAAGUCCAAAAAAGAUAUCAUCUGGUUAGUUGUAGGGUGAUUUUUGUAUUUAAUAGUAACUGCUAGAAACCAUCAACUAACUAAUAAACCAAUAAGCACUUAUCA